rnacentral:rRNA from 1 species
GACGAACGCUGGCGGCGUGCUUAACACAUGCAAGUCGAACGGAAAGGCCCUGCUUUUGUGGGGUGCUCGAGUGGCGAACGGGUGAGUAACACGUGAGUAACCUGCCCUGGACUUUGGGAUAACUUCAGGAAACUGGGGCUAAUACCGGAUAGGAGCUCGUCCUGCAUGGUGGGGGGUGGAGAGUUUUGGCGGUGGGGGAUGGACGCGCGCCUUCUCAGCUUGUGGGUGGGGUUGUGGCUUACCAAGGUCUUGACGGGUAGCGGGUGUGAGAGGGUGAGGGGACACAUUGGGACUGAGACACCGCCCAGACUCAUGCGGGGGGGCGGAGUGGGGAAUAGUGCACUAUGGGCGGGAGCCUUGUGCCGACACGGCGCGGGCGAGAUGGCGGCCCUCGUGGUGUACACCGCUUUCGCCGGUGGCAGAGCGUGAGUGACGGUAAUGGGUGAAGAAGCACCGGCUAACUACGUG